CUUGAACUCACUAGAAGAAUCCUAAUUCUGUACUGCCUUGAAUCAUGAAUGCAAAGAUAGCAAAAAUAAUGGAGGCCAAUGCUUAGCCAUUUGCACAGAUGGAAGUCAGUAGUGCCUAAUCCAGACCACACAGUGGAUGAGAUAGGACAGUCCAACCAAGACUGGCAAUGUGCUCCAUGAUCUUUAAGCAGGAUAGCAUAAGAAGCUGAAGCAUCCUUGGCUCUGUACAGCAUUGUUCAGCAACAACUAAAACAAUGGUGUGUCAUCAACACUGUUUUUCUCCUAAAGCCUAAACACGGGAUCAUCCCAGGCACUAUGAAGAACAUCAACUCUGUUCUAGCUGAAAUCGGAACAUGCGUACAUUUCAAGGUGUUAUUUACCGGUUGGCAAGCGAGCUCAGAAGAUGAAUAUUGGGAGUAUUUCAUCAUUUCAAGCUGGAACAGUGGGCUGCCUGACAGCAGCAUUAUGAACAACUUAUAAUUUCAUAAUUAAAG